rnacentral:rRNA from 1 species
GAUGAACGCUAGCUACAGGCUUAACACAUGCAAGUCGAGGGGAAACGGCAUUGAGUGCUUGCACUCUUUGGACGUCGACCGGCGCACGGGUGAGUAACGCGUAUCCAACCUUCCCAUUACUGUGGGAUAACCUGCCGAAAGGCAGACUAAUACCGCAUAGUCUUCGAUGACGGCAUCAUAUUUGAAGUAAAGAUUUAUCGGUAAUGGAUGGGGAUGCGUCUGAUUAGCUUGUUGGCGGGGUAACGGCCCACCAAGGCGACGAUCAGUAGGGGUUCUGAGAGGAAGGUCCCCCACAUUGGAACUGAGACACGGUCAAAACUCCUACGGGAGGCAGCAGUGAGGAAUAUUGGGCAAUGGACGGAAGUCUGAACCAGCCAAGUAGCGUGCAGGAGGACGGCCCUAUGGGUUGUAAACUGCUUUUGUAUGGGGAUAAAGUUAGGGACGUGUCCCUAUUUGCAGGUACCAUACGAAUAAGGACCGGCUAAUUCCGUG